rnacentral:ncRNA from 1 species
GGGCAAAUCCGCGGAAACGCGGAGACGCAAAACUGGGAGUCUAAAGCAGUACAACGGGCUUUGACGUGGGGCGUUGUGUUGCUAUGAUAGUUCGGUUGCA